GACGAACGCUGGCGGCGUGCUUAACACAUGCAAGUCGAACGGAAAGGCCCUGCUUUUGUGGGGUGCUCGAGUGGCGAACGGGUGAGUAACACGUGAGUAACCUGCCCUUGACUUUGGGAUAACUUCAGGAAACUGGGGCUAAUACCGGAUAGGAGCUCCUGCUGCAUGGUGGGGGUUGGAAAGUUUCGGCGGUUGGGGAUGGACUCGCGGCUUAUCAGCUUGUUGGUUGGGUAGUGGCUUACCAAGGCUUUGACGGGUAGCCGGCCUGGGAGGGUGACCGGCCACCUUGGGCCUGGAAUACGGCCCAGACUCCUACGGGAGGCAGCAGUGGGGAAUAUUGCACAAUGGGCGGAAGCCUGAUGCAGCAACGCCGCGUGCGGGAUGACGGCCUUCGGGUUGUAAACCGCUUUCGCCUGUGACGAAGCGUGAGUGACGGUAAUGGGUAAAGAAGCACCGGCUAACUACGUG
rnacentral:rRNA from 1 species